rnacentral:rRNA from 1 species
CGCGUCCGGUGUGAAAGUCCAUCGCUUAACGGUGGAUCUGCGCCGGGUACGGGCGGGCUGGAGUGCGGUAGGGGAGACUGGAAUUCCCGGUGUAACGGUGGAAUGUGUAGAUAUCGGGAAGAACACCGAUGGCGAAGGCAGGUCUCUGGGCCGUCACUGACGCUGAGGAGCGAAAGCGUGGGGAGCGAACAGGAUUAGAUACCCUGGUAGUCCACGCCGUAAACGGUGGAUGCUGGAUGUGGGGACCAUUCCACGGUCUCCGUGUCGGAGCCAACGCGUUAAGCAUCCCGCCUGGGGAGUACGGCCGCAAGGCUAAAACUCAAAGAAAUUGACGGGGGCCCGCACAAGCGGCGGAGCAUGCGGAUUAAUUCGAUGCAACGCGAAGAACCUUACCUGGGCUUGACAUGUUCCCGACGACGCCAGAGAUGGCGUUUCCCUUCGGGGCGGGUUCACAGGUGGUGCAUGGUCGUCGUCAGCUCGUGUCGUGAGAUGUUGGGUUAAGUCCCGCAACGAGCGCAACCCUCGCCCCGUGUUGCCAGCACGUUAUGGUGGGAACUCACGGGGGACCGCCGGGGUUAACUCGGAGGAAGGUGGGGAUGACGUCAGAUCAUCAUGCCCCUUACGUCCAGGGCUUCACGCAUGCUACAAUGGCCGGUACAGCGGGAUGCGACAUGGCGACAUGGAGCGGAUCCCUGAAAACCGGUCUCAGUUCGGAUCGGAGCCUGCAACCCGGCUCCGUGAAGGCGGAGUCGCUAGUAAUCGCGGAUCAGCAACGCCGCGGUGAAUGCGUUCCCGGGCCUUGUACACACCGCCCGUCAAGUCAUGAAAGUGGGUAGCACCCGAAGCCGGUGGCCCAACCUUUUUGGGGGGAGCCGUCUAAGGUGAGACUCGUGAUUGGGACUAAGUCGUAACAAGGUAGCCGUACCGGAAGGUGCGGCUG